AUUGAACGCUGGCGGCAGGCCUAACACAUGCAAGUCGAGCGGAUGAAGGGAGCUUGCUCCUGGAUGCAGCGACGGACGGGCGAGUAAUGCCUAGGAAUCUGCCUGGUAGUGGGGGAUAACGUCCGGAAACGGGCGCUAAUACCGCAUACGUUCUGAGGGAGAAAGGGGGGGAUCUUCGGACCUCACGCUACCAGAUGACCCUAGGUUGGAUUAGCUAGUUGGUGGGGUAAAGGCCUACCAAGGCGACGAUCCGUAGCUGGGCUGAGAGGAUGAUCAGUCACACUGGAACUGAGACACGGUCCAGACUCCUACGGGAGGCAGCAGUGGGGAAUCUUGCGCAAUGGGCGAAAGCCUGAUCCAGCCAUGCCGCGUGUGUGAUGAAGGUCUUCGGAUUGUAAAGCACUUUUAGUUGGGAGGAACGGCAGUAAGUUUAUCCCUUGCUGUCUUGACGUUACCAACACAAUAAGCCCCGGCUAACUUCGUG
rnacentral:rRNA from 1 species